UUUGUCUGCUUAGGGUUAAUUUUCCCCAAAUCAAGGGUCUGUUCAGACCAUGUGUUCGUUCUUAGAUGGGGAACUAAAAGGAGUUCCUUAUUGCCAAACGGAAGCAUAUGAAGUUCUGUGCUAGAUUUAGAAGUAAAUAUUGAUGUUGAUUUUUAAAGUUUUACUCAUGUUAGAUGUCUACUGAUAUCUGCAUGCAAUCCUCUUUUGGCUAUCAUACUGUGAUGCUUUGGGAGAUUUCCCAGUAUUUCUAUGCAAAUUCCGGGCCAGGUUCGGCCUUCCUAGCAAAUUGCAUAAUUUAUGAAGAAAAAAGGUAACUCCUGGUAUUUGUUGGUUGCAAUUCCUCUGACAGUUACAACACAUGGCAAUGAUACCUCUGCACAUUGUCGAAUAAAAAAUAUAGAGAUGAUAUUCAUUGACGCCAGGCUUCAAAAUUCAGCUCUUUUAUUUCUGCCAUGGUGUACCUUUCUGCUUGGUUCAGUUUUGCCUGAUCUACUUCCAGAUGUAUACUACACUUAGUUUGUUCAUGCAUUAGAAGCAGGCUUUCAGCAAUGGAAUAGCGGGUGGAUGAGAAGCUCCACAACCUGCACAUUGUGAUGGAGAAUCA